CCCGCUGAACUUAAGCAUAUCAAUAAGCGGAGGAAAAGAAACUAACAAGGAUUCCCCUAGUAACUGCGAGUGAAGAGGGAAAAGCUCAAAUUUAAAAUCUGGCAGUCUAUGAUUGUCCGAGUUGUAAUCUAGAGAAGCAUUAUCCGUGCUGGACCGUGUACAAGUCUCCUGGAAUGGAGCGUCAUAGAGGGUGAGAAUCCCGUCUUUGACACGGACUACCAGUGCAUUGUGAUGUGCUCUCAAAGAGUCGCGUUGUUUGGGAAUGCAGCUCAAAAUGGGUGGUAAAUGCCAUCUAAAGCUAAAUAUUGGCGAGAGACCGAUAGCGAACAAGUACCGUGAGGGAAAGAUGAAAAGAACUUUGGAAAGAGAGUUAAACAGUACGUGAAAUUGCUGAAAGGGAAACGCUUGAAGUCAGUCACGUUGACUCGGAAUCAGCUCUGCUUUUGCUGGGUGUACUUUCUUGUCAAUGGGUCAGCAUCAAUUUUGACCAUUGGAUAAAGUUGCUGGGAAUGUAGCAUCCUUUUGGAUGUGUUAUAGCCUGGUGAUGCAUACAGUGGUUGGGAUUGAGGAAUUCAGCACGCCACCAGGCCGGGUUUUGACCACGUUCGUGCUUAGGAUGCUGGCAUAAUGGCUUUAAUUGACCCGUCUUGAAACACGG
rnacentral:rRNA from 1 species